rnacentral:ribozyme from 1 species
UUUUUUUUUUUUUUUUUUUUUUUUUUUUUUUUUUUCGCUUUGC